rnacentral:rRNA from 1 species
UACGGAGGGUGCAAGCGUUAUCCGGAUUCACUGGGUUUAAAGGGUGCGUAGGUGGGAAUGUAAGUCAGUGGUGAAAUCUCCGUGCUUAACACGGAAACUGCCAUUGAUACUAUGUUUCUUGAAUUAUCUGGAGGUCAGCGGAAUAUGUCAUGUAGCGGUGAAAUGCUUAGAUAUGACAUAGAACACCAAUUGCGAAGGCAGCUGGCUACAGGUGGAUUGACACUGAGGCACGAAAGCGUGGGGAUCAAACAGGG